rnacentral:rRNA from 1 species
AACGAACGCUGGCGGCAUGCCUAACACAUGCGAGUCGAACGAGACCUUCGGGUCUAGUGGCGCACGGGUGCGUAACGCGUGGGAACCUGCCCUUAGGUUCGGAAUAACUCCCCGAAAGGGGUGCUAAUACCGGAUAAUGUCUUCGGACCAAAGAUUUAUCGCCUUUGGAUGGGCCCGCGUUGGAUUAGCUAGUUGGUAGGGUAAAAGCCUACCAAGGCGACGAUCCAUAGCUGGUCUGAGAGGAUGAUCAGCCACACUGGGACUGAGACACGGCCCAGACUCCUACGGGAGGCAGCAGUGGGGAAUAUUGGACAAUGGGCGAAAGCCUGAUCCAGCAAUGCCGCGUGAGUGAUGAAGGCCUUAGGAUUGUAAAGCUCUUUUACCCGGGAUGAUAAUGACAGUACCGGGAGAAUAAGCUCCGGCUAACUCCGUG